ACGAACGCUGGCGGCAUGCCUAACACAUGCAAGUCGAACGAGACCUUCGGGUCUAGUGGCGCACGGGUGCGUAACGCGUGGGAACCUGCCCUUAGGUUCGGAAUAACUCCCCGAAAGGGGUGCUAAUACCGGAUAAUGUCUUCGGACCAAAGAUUUAUCGCCUUUGGAUGGGCCCGCGUUGGAUUAGCUAGUUGGUAGGGUAAAAGCCUACCAAGGCGACGAUCCAUAGCUGGUCUGAGAGGAUGAUCAGCCACACUGGGACUGAGACACGGCCCAGACUCCUACGGGAGGCAGCAGUGGGGAAUAUUGGACAAGGGGCGAAAGCCUGAUCCAGCAAUGCCGCGUGAGUGAUGAAGGCCUUAGGGUUGUAAAGCUCUUUUACCCGGGAUGAUAAUGACAGUACCGGGAGAAUAAGCUCCGGCUAACUCCGUG
rnacentral:rRNA from 1 species